rnacentral:rRNA from 1 species
AUUGAACGCUGGCGGCAGGCCUAACACAUGCAAGUCGAACGAGUCGCAGACGUGUGAGUCGUGUCUGGAACACUGCCUUAUGGAGGGGUAUAACUACUGGAAACGGUCGCUAACACCGCAUACCAUCAUUUAUGCCCAGAUGUGAGUGGCUUGUUGGUGGGGUAACGGCUCACCAAGGCGCCUCGCCCUAGCUGGUCUGAGAGGAUGAUCGGCCACACUGGAACUGAGACACGGCCCAGACUCCUACGGGAGGCAGCAGUGGGGAAUAUUGCACAAUGGGCGCAAGCCUGAUGCAGCCAUGCCGCGUGUAUGAAGAAGGCCUUAGGGUUGUAAAGUACUUUAAGUCGGGAGGCGUUACCAACAGAAUAAGCACCGGCUAACUUCGUGCCAGCAGCCGCGGUAAUAC